rnacentral:misc_RNA from 1 species
GAUGAAGAACGUAGCGAAAUGCGAUACGUAAUGUGAAUUGCAGAAUUCAGUGAAUCAUCGAGUCUUUGAACGCACAUUGCGCCCCCUGGUAUUCCGGGGGGCAUGCCUGUCCGAGCGUCAUUGCUGCCCUCAAGCACGGCUUGUGUGUUGGGCCUCUGUCCUCCUCCCGGGGGACGGGCCCGAAAGGCAGCGGCGGCACCGCGUCCGGUCCUCGAGCGUAUGGGGCUUCGUCACCCGCUCUUGUAGGCCCGGCCGGCGCUUGCCGACACAUCAAUCUUUUUUCCAGGUUGACCUCGGAUCAGGUAGGGAUACCCGCUGAACUUAAGCAUAUCAAUAAGCGGAGA